CCACACCCCCACAGCCUAGUAGCCACUCAAGGCAUCCAACUAUAAAUACACUGCCAAGGCCAUUUGAUUUGUUCACCCACAUGUCCUCCUCUCCCUUCUCAAGUAGUUUCUCCUUGUAUUUUCUAAAUCCCCCACGAUUGUCUCCAAAGUAACUGUUACCACGUGAGCAGGCAAAAGUAUGCAAGAAUCUUUGAAGCUCAGGAGGGAUAGCGCCAUGGGUGGACUUGUGAAAGGUUUCUCAAAAAGCCUGUUUGUCUAUUGCGCUAUCUAUCCUGAGUUUCAUGGGUUCUUAAUACUGUACAAGUUAAAGAUGGGUCUUGAAGACAUUGUGGCCCAGUCUACUGGAAGGAAACUGGAAAGUUAGGGAGGGGGAAGGGAAGCCGAGGGAAGUCCCAAAAUUGUACGAGCAUAAAGUACCAACCCAUGUACAUUUUCUAUAUAUAUUAGAAUAAUGUUUGCUGCAUAA